GGAGAAGCAGACACGACGUGUGUUUUAAGAAAAAUCUUAUUCCUUCCCGGCAUAUCAUUGCUCUUUCUUGAAGCAUGCCUGAGUGUGGGCACUCCCUCCCUCCACUGGCCAACCUGGCUCCAACCACUGCGCCUCCGCUGUUCACCAGGGGCUAUCUGUGCUCCAUCAGUAUCACUACCAGAGGCCAGGGGGCAAUCAGGUGACACCACCCCACUGGAGUCAGCUGUCCGGAUCAGGUCCAGCACUGAAAUAGCUCCUGCUUCCCCAGGAGCAGCCGCGGAGAGCUUUUUGCACAAAGUGGAGCUCACUUGGGAGAUCGCCAUUGGUGGACAUCAAGGAGGGAGGAUGAAGUCGAACAAUGGUUUUUCACAAAGGCCUCUGGCAAAAUUUCAGAAUAAUUCUCCAAAAUUGAAAGAGCCUUUCAGAGUUGUCCCAACGGACAGCCAAGGACCAGGACUUUAUAUUCUUAAAUUAGUCCUUGGGUUGGAGGCAGCUCGAGGCAGCUCUUUCGGCUGAAGUAACCUGACCAGUGAGGGGAGAGUAGGCAAGGACAGACUCAGCUGUGGGUCAUUAACACUCCAGGAACAAGCCUUUCAGUUCUAAGGAAGACUGUGGGGGGGGGCACGCUACAGAGCCAAAGAAACAAUGGCAGCUGGGUGUGGCAGCAGUUCUGGGAGGCAGAGGCAGGAGGAUUACAAAUUCAAGCCCAGUCCAGGCAAUUCAGCGAGAGCUCGCCUCAAAAUAAAGAACAAGGUGACCGCCCACCUGCUUUGCAAUCGCAAGGACCUGAGUUUAAUCCCCGGUACCGCCCCCCCCCAAAAGUAAGUUGAGCUACUAGGGAUAUAGCUCCAGGAGAAGGCCCUGGGUUUACUCCUUACUAUAUGGCCUGAAAGAAAACAAGGGAAAGGAGAAUAUUCACUCCUUGAAAAGUCAGAAAUGACUAAAAGUGGAACGUGAAGAACAAGUUCCUGAUUGUUUCUUGAAAAGAGACUUUCAAGUUGUUGAAACUGUCGUGUGGGAAACAUCAAGAAACUAGUGGUUCCGGCCCCUGCUUCACAAGUGCAAGGACGUUCCAUCCC
rnacentral:lncRNA from 1 species